GCAGUGGUGGUUCAGUGUAGAAUUCUCACCUUCCAUGCCAGAGAUGCAGGUUUGAUUCCUGGCCAAUGCA
rfam:Loxodonta africana unplaced genomic scaffold scaffold_14, whole genome shotgun sequence.